rnacentral:lncRNA from 1 species
AGAUUGGGUUUUAUGGCCAAUUGAGGAAGUGGUUUAAUUCAAAGCCCUAUAUAAUUGACCUUCUUCUUUGAUUUUAUUGCUUCACUCUCGUUAAUCAAAGGUGCUGGUGGACUGGAUCUCUCUCUGACUCUAUCUUUUUUGCUUCAUUGUCCAAGAUAAUCAAAGGUUACCUCAUGCUUUCUCAGUUAUAUUUUAGUUUUUCUUUUCUUUUGAACAUUGUAGUAGUAUUGUUUCUAUUUGGUUAGAGUUGUGCAUCUCAGUUUUCUUAGGAUGUACACUGCUGUUUUUUAUUUUAUUUUUUUUAACCGUACUCUUCUUUUUGAGCUCAAAUGUUUUCUAAGGAUACUGUUUGUUCUUACAAGUAUACUUUUUGCAAGAUGUUGAAUGAUUUGGAAGGCUAAAGUGCAUUGCAAUGUGUACUUUGUUUGCUGGCUAAUUAAAAGUUGCUGGAGAAGAUGCAAUGUGUUUUAUUAAAUGUUAGUUUGUUUCUAUCUUUUCUUGCAGAUUACUUUAAUUGCUAAGAAUUCUUUUCGGUAAAAUGGAUGACCAGAGAGAAUUUUCUGUCUUUGUUCGAUGGUUGCAUGGUGAAAAUAAUUUAAAUGACAAGGUUAUUGGUUCUAGGCUUUCCUUGUUUAAAAAAUGCUAUCUACCUAUAUAUAAAGUAAAAGGCAGAGAAUGAUGAAACAUUCAAAAUAACAGAAAAUACCUUUGGUUAAUUGAAACAUUAAGAAUUGAAAUUAUUAAUUAAAUGAGGAUAAUAUGGUAAAUUCACAUUUUUUCAUAUUAAAAAAAUUAAUUCUAAAAAUAAAAUAAAAAGUAAAAAAGAAAAUCAGAAAACCAAUUAAUACAUGUUCACGCAUGUGCCAAAGGGCUUGUUAAUAGAAUGGAAACUCUGGCAAGGAACUUCUUGUGCAGACUUCUACUAAAAUUCCGCCUAUUGCAUGGAAUACUAUUUUCAACCAAAAGACCUUAUAAGUAUCUUCCCUAGCUAAUAAUGCUUGGUUGACUUGGAUUAAGAAAACUACAAUUGGUUAAUAAUGCUUCCCUAGCUAAAUUGGGAUGGAAAAUUAUUCUUCUUUUUAUAAAGCAAUUUAUAAAGCAAUUGCAAAACCCAAUUAUAUUUGCGAGUCUGGAUAAGCAUUUUAAAAUUUCAACCUAUUUUAUUUCAGGAAAUGAGAUGGAUAGUUGGGAAUGGUCAUAAUAUUAAAUUUUGGAAUUUCAAUUGGGUCUUGUUAAAUGAACCCUAAAAUUAAUUGAGUACACCCUAUGAUUUAAGUAUAUCAUAAUAUUUAAAUUAAAAUGUAAAAUUAACUAAGUACACCCUAUUUUAACUACCAAAAAUACUCCUAUUUUGAGGGUGAGACCUCUUCCUUCUUUAGUCUCUGUUGUAGUUGGUUUCUAACCUCUUCAAUCGUGUAUGCAGUUGGUUUCUACCAAAAAUACCCCUCAUCUUUUCUGGUUAACGGUAAUUCAAGCCGUGUCUUCCACUAAAGACAGACCAAUGAUGGCUUCAAAGGAAUUCUUUUCCUCAGGUAAUACAUGCCAUUAUUCAAUAUAUAUAAAGGAAACAAUUUAAAUUUCUAUUAACAUUCAGACUAUUUCCUUUUCAUGUGUAUCUAUAUAUAUAAAGCAAAAGGCAGAGAAUGGUGAAACAUUCAAAAUACCAGAAAAUGUUAUUGGUUAAUGCAAACAUUAAGAAUUAAAAUUAGUAAUUAAACGAGGAUAAUAUGGUAAAAUUCACACAUUUUCAUAUUAAAAAAAAUUAAAAUUAAAAGAAAAAUUGGAUAAUUGAUCAUAUUUUUAUGGAACACAACUACCCAUUAUCAUUUUUAAUCCUAAAAAAAAAUUAUAAAUUUAUAAAAAAGGCCUCUUGCAAGCACGGAAGCACAUCCGAAGAGGCUAGUUAAUUACUGAAAUAAACAGAAUUUUAGCUAACAAAUGCUAAUUAAGGCAUUAGUAGUCUAAGUGAGAAGACGGUGAAGCAAGAUAGAACCAACAGAAACCACAUGAUCAAGAUUCCAAACCUUCUAAAACCAAUAACUAAUAUAUAUUGCCUGUACUGGAAACGAAAUUGAACUCUACAUUCAUCAGUUUGUGCAGCAACAAACUGAACCAUGAUAAUUAUAUAUAGCAAACAAGGAUCAUUAAUUCAAUAUCCUUAACAAAAAUAAAAUAUAGCAAUAUCAACAGUGAACAAAAGAUGGCAGUAAAAUGACUCAAUAAUAUCUAAUCAAAGACGUACGGAUUCCCAGCUCUGCUCCUCAAGUCCUUACAUUACAGGUUGUUUUCUACUACCUGUAAUCCCACUUUUUUUUUUUUGGUUACAUGUAAUCCCUCCUUCCAUCCGCUUUUUCUUUUUCUUUUGUUUUUAAUUAUUCCGCUUGCAUUCUUGGGUUUUGUCUGGUUUGCUUUUUCAUGAUGCAUGAAGGCUACUUCAUGUUUGGCUUCUUCCUGCAAAACCCAAUUAUAUUAUGUGAGAAACUAGAUCCAAAUGCUAAUAAAAACACUUAUACACAUGCAAACAAUUGAGUCUCUUGAUUCAUGGUCAUUAAACAAAGAAAAAAAAAAUCAAUUUCAUGUAAACAUAUUUCUUUUACCUCAUGCAUCAAAGAAUUCUCAUCCAAAGUGGUGUCAUCUUCUUGUUUUGGCUGCUUCAUGCUUGCUGCACUCUUACUUUCUUCGGGUUCAUAAUCCCCGCAUUCUCUGAGAGUCGUAAUCAUUGUAAACAAUAAAAUCUAACGUGCAGAUUAAGGUUAUGAUUAAAACACGAGAAAUAUGAAGAAAACUUACGGAGUAAAGCUGAGCGUAAGCCUGAACCAAUUACGAACAUCGAUUUUCACACGAAGAACAGUUGAAUGCAAGGUCUCUAUCAUUCCUUGAACAAUUUGAAACGUGGUGAUACAAAGAUGUUGAACCUCAUCACAUUCUUCGUUAGUACCAGUCUUAACAUGAACGAAGUCUUGGUUCCCAAGAUGAACCAAAUAGUCAGUCACAAGACCAUCAAAUUGCAAAGGCGGAUCAGCAAUGUCAAGGCCGUUCAAUUCAAAUUGUUGGACUAGUGAAUAUGCAAUAUCACCGUCGUCAACUACCUUCCUCCUCAAGGAGUAUGCUAUAAUCUCGUCCGUCCUAAAAUAAUUUAAGGCAUAUAUAGUCUCACCUACAACCACAGCUCUCCCUUGGAACGGAGUACAAGUGCCAAUUUCAACUCGUUUCCAAUUCUUUCUACCCAAGUGAAAAGCAACGACAUCAAAGUUUCCAUGCAAGUCAGACAAUGUAUACAAAAUAACGCCAUAACCAACAGCAAAACCAGUUACCUCCGUAGUAAACUUAUAAGAAAAUGGAAACGAAGGCAUUUGCACCCAAUCCUUCUUAUCAGGGUUAUAUUUCCCAAAGAAUAAGCCUGAACCUUGUACAAAUUCCGUUUGGGUUUCAAGAAAAUAAAGUGUGCCAUAUGCCGACACAACUGUUCCAUGCUGCUUAAACUGUACGGUAGAAGGUGUUAAGCGAUCUAAUGCCCUAGUUUUCGUAUCAAAGAUAUACCCUCCAAAUGAAUCAACGCAAGGUUUAUCCCAACCCUCCUCUGAAAACACAUAUAGUUGGGAGCGGUCGAAAAGCCUUGCACCCAAAUGGGUAGAACCACUGAACUUGGCUACACGUGCUAUUCGUGCACCCAUAUCAUCAACUUCUCCUCCAAAUUUGAAUUUAACUUCAUAGAUGGCAUCAGUGUAUUUGCCCCUAGUGAAAUUUACCAUUAAAAACAAAGAUCUAUCUUCCCCCUGAUUUACCGUCGUUGAUGCAUUCUCAACCAUGGGCAAGCUGGACAGAGAAGAGAGAUAUACAAAACAAGUCAAAUUAAUCUUUCCAAACAACUUCCAGACCUAGAGAGAAUUAAUGACUGAAGCCAAAGCUACACAAUCUACAUAGCAAGGUAAACAUUUUAUAUUAUAUAACAUAUAUAAAAAAAAAAACCAGCGAUGCAAAUGGGAAACAAAAAUUAAGAAGAUGAAAUCUACAUAGUAAGCCAUGCACUGACCCAUGUUUGUGACUGUCGGCCUUACUGCGGCGUAGUAAGCGAAGCUCCUUCGAAAUUAAUUUCUUCAAAUCGAUCAGUUGGAUUUUCUGGGCCAAAAGCGCGGCUAGAUAUUUCUCGUUCUCCCCCCGUUCGCGCAGAGACUUCUCCAUCGCCCAUAUCUUGCGCAGAGAUUUCUUGAUCUUCGAUGUCUUGGCAAGGAGCUCGUCUUGGCAUGAAGCCAUCGUCAAGGCAUGAUCUUGACCCGAGGUGAGCUCAGCGGCCAUGAUAUUGCAAUGCUAAACUGAGGCAAAAGGGAAUUUAGGGUUGGUUGUGGGUAUGAAAUAUAAUCUAAAGCGUGGAAUUAAUUCAAUUGAUCAAUAUGCUUUCCAUUCAUCCGUAAAGUCAUGUAUUCAUAUAAUGACCUAAUUAAUCUUGAUAGGAGCAGGAAACUUUUUUUAAAAGAUUAUUUUUAUUUUAAGGAAGAAUCAGGAAACUUUUAUUAAUAUUAUUUUAAUCAAGGAAGAAACAGGAACCUUUUUAUUGUUGAUCAAAUAAAACGCAGGAACCUUUUUUUUCUUUUCCUUUUUCGGUUGAGAGAAAACAGGAAACUUAUAAUUGUUUUUGAAUAUGCAUAUGGUAUUUAUAUGUACGACUUACUUUUCUAUUUGGUUUCCCGUUUUAAAAUUUCUAGAGUUACCUGUUUGUUUAUUUGUUAUCCUUUUUAUGAUUUUUUUUGGGGUUUACUGGUGAGAUUAGGUUUUAGGGCCAAUUGAGGAAGUCGUUUAGUUCAAAGCCCUAUAUAAUUGACCUUCUUCUUUGAUUUUAUUGCUUCACUCUCGUUAAUCAAAGGUGCUGGUGGACUGGAUCUCUCUUUGACACCAUCGUUUUUGCUUCAUUGUCCCAGAUAAUCAAAGGUUAGCUCAUCUCAUGCUUUCUCAGUUAUAUUUUAGUUUUUGUUUUCUUUUCUUUUGAACAUUGUAGUAGUAUUUUUUUCUAUUUGGUUAGAGUUGUGCAUCUCAGUUUUCUUAGGAUGUACACUGCUGCUUUUUUUUUUUUUUUUUUUUACCUUACUCUUCUUUUUGAGCUCAAUGUGUUUUUCUAAGGAUACUGUUUGCAAUGUGUACCUUGUUUGCUGGCUAAUUAAAAUUUUACCUUACUCUUUUUUUUUUUUUACCUUACUCUUCUUUUUGAUCUCAGUUGCUGGAGAAGGUGCAAUGUGUUUUAUUAAAUGUUUCUUUGUUUCUAUCUUUUCUUGCAGAUUACUUUCCUUGCUAAGAAUUCUUUUCGGUAAAAUGGAUUACCUGAGAGAGUUACCUGACUUUAUUCAACGGUUGCUGCUUCGUGGCAAUAAUUCACAGGACAUGGUCG